rnacentral:rRNA from 1 species
GUGGGGAAUAUUGGACAAUGGGGGGAACCCUGAUCCAGCCAUGCCGCGUGUGUGAAGAAGGCCUUUUGGUUGUAAAGCACUUUAAGCGAGGAGGAGGCUACCGAGAUUAAUACUCUUGGAUAGUGGACGUUACUCGCAGAAUAAGCACCGGCUAACUCUGUGCCAGCAGCCGCGGUAAUACAGAGGGUGCAAGCGUUAAUCGGAUUUACUGGGCGUAAAGCGCGCGUAGGUGGACAAUUAAGUCAAAUGUGAAAUCCCCGAGCUUAACUUGGGACUUGCAUUCGAUACUGGUUGGCUAGAGUAUGGGAGAGGAUGGUAGAAUUCCAGGUGUAGCGGUGAAAUGCGUAGAGAUCUGGAGGAAUACCGAUGGCGAAGGCAGCCAUCUGGCCUAAUACUGACACUGAGGUGCGAAAGCAUGGGGAGCAAACAGGAUUAGAAACCCUUGUAGUCC